GUGACCAAGCGGUAGGAUACCACCCGUUCCCAUUCCGAACACGAUCGUAAAGACUACUUGCGGUGAAAAUACUUGGAGGGAGACCUCCUGGAAAGAUAGCUAGUUGCC
rnacentral:rRNA from 1 species